ACAUGUGGAGCGCUUAGAAGUGAGAAUGCCGGUGUGAGUAGCGAAAGACGGGUGAGAAUCCCGUCCACCGAUUGACUAAGGUUUCCAGAGGAAGGCUCGUCCGCUCUGGGUUAGUCGGGUCCUAAGCUGAGGCCGACAGGCGUAGGCGAUGGAUAACAGGUUGAUAUUCCUGUACCACCUAUAAUCGUUUUAAUCGAUGGGGGGACGCAGUAGGAUAGGCGAAGCGUGCGAUUGGAUUGCACGUCUAAGCAGUAAGGCUGAGUAUUAGGCAAAUCCGGUACUCGUUAAGGCUGAGCUGUGAUGGGGAGAAGACAUUGUGUCUUCGAGUCGUUGAUUUCACACUGCCGAGAAAAGCCUCUAGAUAGAAAAUAGGUGCCCGUACCGCAAACCGACACAGGUAGUCAAGAUGAGAAUUCUAAGGUGAGCGAGCGAACUCUCGUUAAGGAACUCGGCAAAAUGACCCCGUAACUUCGGGAGAAGGGGUGCUCUUUAGGGUUAACGCCCAGAAGAGCCGCAGUGAAUAGGCCCAAACGACUGUUUAUCAAAAACACAGGUCUCUGCUAAACCGUAAGGUGAUGUAUAGGGGCUGACGCCUGCCCGGUGCUGGAAGGUUAAGAGGAGUGGUUAGCUUCUGCGAAGCUACGAAUCGAAGCCCCAGUAAACGGCGGCCGUAACUAUAACGGUCCUAAGGUAGCGAAAUUCCUUGUCGGGUAAGUUCCGACCCGCACGAAAGGCGUAACGAUUUGGGCACUGUCUCAACGAGAGACUCGGUGAAAUCAUAGUACCUGUGAAGAUGCAGGUUACCCGCGACAGGACGGAAAGACCCCGUGGAGCUUUACUGUAGCCUGAUAUUGAAAUUCGGCACAGCUUGUACAGGAUAGGUAGGAGCCUUUGAAACGUGAGCGCUAGCUUACGUGGAGGCGCUGGUGGGAUACUACCCUAGCUGUGUUGGCUUUCUAACCCGCACCACUUAUCGUGGUGGGAGACAGUGUCAGGCGGGCAGUUUGACUGGGGCGGUCGCCUCCUAAAAGGUAACGGAGGCGCUCAAAGGUUCCCUCAGAAUGGUUGGAAAUCAUUCAUAGAGUGUAAAGGCAUAAGGGAGCUUGACUGCGAGACCUACAAGUCGAGCAGGGUCGAAAGACGGACUUAGUGAUCCGGUGGUUCCGCAUGGAAGGGCCAUCGCUCAACGGAUAAAAGCUACCCCGGGGAUAACAGGCUUAUCUCCCCCAAGAGUUCACAUCGACGGGGAGGUUUGGCACCUCGAUGUCGGCUCAUCGCAUCCUGGGGCUGUAGUCGGUCCCAAGGGUUGGGCUGUUCGCCCAUUAAAGCGGUACGCGAGCUGGGUUCAGAACGUCGUGAGACAGUUCGGUCCCUAUCCGUCGUGGGCGUAGGAAAUUUGAGAGGAGCUGUCCUUAGUACGAGAGGACCGGGAUGGACAUACCUCUGGUGUACCAGUUGUCGUGCCAACGGCAUAGCUGGGUAGCUAUGUGUGGACGGGAUAAGUG
rnacentral:rRNA from 1 species